rnacentral:rRNA from 1 species
GACGGAGGAUGCAAGCGUUAUCCGGAAUGAUUGGGCGUAAAGCGUCCGCAGGUGGCAGUUCAAGUCUGCUGUCAAAGACCGGGGCUUAACUUCGGAAAGGCAGUGGAAACUGAACAGCUAGAGUAUGGUAGGGGCAGAGGGAAUUCCUGGUGUAGAGGUGAAAUUCGUAGAUAUCAGGAGGAACACCGGUGGCGAAGGCGGCUUCCUGGACACUUACUGACGCUGAGACGCGAAAGCGUGGGGAGCAAACAGG